AAAAAGAUCUUUCAUUUUUCAUUUCUGAGACUCUGAUUUUGUUCCAAAUCCCAGAAUUCUUCUUCUUUUUCUAAAUUCUGUUUGUAGCCAUGGCAGAAGUAGAAGUUAAGAAAGUGGAGAGUGAGAAAGUUGUGGACCCUACUCCCCCUGCAGCUGCAAAAGAAGCAGAACCUGCUGUUGAAUCUCCUAAAGAAGUGGCUGAUGAGAAAGCAAUAGUUGCACCAGCUCUGCCUCCUCCUGAACAAGUCAAAGAAAAAACCGAUGACUCUAAAGCACUAGUCGUGGUCGAAGAUAGUAUGAUUUCUCCUUAUCUUGUCUCUGUUCUCAUAUAUUUUAGUAAUUAUUACUAUACUAUAUGUUUGGGUAUAUAUACUCUGUGUUAUCUGCAGUCUUUAGCUGAAUUUUAUGUUACUCUGUGAAUAAUAUUUGUCCUUUUGUAGAAAAGUUAGUUUUGUUAGUUUUCCUUCCUACGGACUCUGUAGUAUAAACAUGUCAGCAGUAGUGUAAAAAAGGAAAAAUAAUUGCUUGUUGAAGCAAUUGAUGAACAAUUGAAUAGUACGUUUUAUCACCCAUGUUGAAGAAAGAUCCUGAAAAUUUUCUCAGUCAGGCUUGAUUUGUGGCUUUGUCCUCUCUAUUUCCUUAGGCCUAGUCAAAAUUUUGACCAAUUUCACUUCUAUUUCAGUCCUUAGCUUAGACUGCUCUAUCAAUAUUUUUAAACCUUUUUUAUGGUCUCUCUAACUUUGUGCAACUUGUGUCGUUCGCAGAAGCAGCAGAACCUGCUGAGGAGAAAAAGGAGGGAUCUAUUGACAGAGGUAAUUUGGACUUUUCUUUUGCUUUCAGUUGUUUUUGGAUCAUUUACUGUCUAAGGGUAUUUGAGUAAUUUGGU
rnacentral:lncRNA from 1 species